rnacentral:ribozyme from 12 species
GAAUACACAAAAAGAAAGAAAUGUAGGAAAAACUCAAAGCAAUCCGUCCUCCAAAUGACAGCCACUUGCGCAUGAUGCUUCCUUUGAAUCAAUCGAACCAAACCAAUUGUUUUUUUUUUUUUUUUUU